rnacentral:rRNA from 1 species
GGGAAUUUUCCGCAAUGGGCGAAAGCCUGACGGAGCAAUGCCGCGUGGAGGUAGAAGGCCUACGGGUCGUCAACUUCUUUUCUCGGAGAAGAAACAAUGACGGUAUCUGAGGAAUAAGCAUCGGCUAACUCUGUGCAG